AGAUGUUCCGGGCAGGACCUGCUCAUUACAACAUGAUGUUGAUGUUGGCAAUUCAAAUCCUAUUAAACAGCACCCAUAUCGCUUGAAUCCACAAAAGGCAGAGAUUGUUGAACGGGAAGUAAAAUAUAUGCUCGAUCAUAAAUUGAUUGAACAUAGUAGCAGCCAGUGGAGUUCCCCUGUAGUACUUGUCAAAAAAAUGAUGGUCAAUACCGUUUAUGUUUUGAUUACAGGAAGGUAAAUGCAGUCACCAGGACAGAUUCAUUCCCAAUUCCUAGGGUGGAUGACUGUAUUGAUCGCAUUGGAAAGGCCAGAUUUAUCAGCAAGUUUGACAUGUUGAAGGGUUAUUGGCAGGAACAAUAAUCAGAGAUUAACAAGAUGGAGUCUAUUUUUACAACCCUACGAUUUGAAUAUCCUACAUAUCAAAGGAAAGGAGAACGUCAUUCCGGAUGCAUUGUCAAGAAUGUGACUUGCUAUAUUUUUUGACCUAAUAUUUGUUGGAUGCAAAAUAUAUAUUACAUAUAUAUUUUUUCCUUUUUUAGGGGGGAGGUGUAAUAUAAAUAAGUAAUUCUGUUUUGAAUAGUUCGGGAAAAAGAUUUAGACAAUUGUCCAAAUGCCAGUUAACUACUUGUUCCCCAUUUAUCGAUCAGGAACGAAGGUUUCGGGGGUCACGUCACAGCAACGAGAGUUAUGGUCGGCAGUGAGAAGGUGUCUGUCUUCAAGGAAGGUCACUGAUACGUUUAGAAGAUACAUUGUUGGAUCCGGUGUUUCGCCGUUGAGUUGGAGCAAAUAAUUCCGUUCCCAUCUGAUGGUUGUGGCUGUAUGAGAAGCAGCGUUGGCCCUCUCGAGUUACGUUGGUGUGGCCUGUUUAGAUGUGGGAAUAUCAGAAUUGGGGCUUCAUUCCUGGAUUGUGAUUUCCAGGCGUAUCUUCGUAUCGGUGGCUGAAGAAGAACCUCUCGCUCAAGAAAUGGUUUUCAAAUACUCCCUAUUCACUCGGAGACCUCUAGAACUGCUUGUUUGAACGUCAGCUAAGUUUUGUUUUAUUAUAUUUAUUAAUUAUUUUUCCAUGAAUAUUAUCUGAGCUCUUAGAUACCGGUCGUAUCUGCAAGUGUUUGUUAUUUAAGCAUAAUAAAAGUGCUUUGAAGAGU